AACGAACGCUGGCGGCAUGCCUAACACAUGCAAGUCGAACGAGACCUUCGGGUCUAGUGGCGCACGGGUGCGUAACGCGUGGGAACCUGCCCUUAGGUUCGGAAUAACUCCCCGAAAGGGGUGCUAAUACCGGAUAAUGUCUUCGGACCAAAGAUUUAUCGCCUUUGGAUGGGCCCGCGUUGGAUUAGCUAGUUGGUAGGGUAAAAGCCUACCAAGGCGACGAUCCAUAGCUGGUCCGAGAGGAUGAUCAGCCACACUGGGACUGAGACACGGCCCAGACUCCUACGGGAGGCAGCAGUGGGGAAUAUUGGACAAUGGGCGAAAGCCUGAUCCAGCAAUGCCGCGUGAGUGAUGAAGGCCUUAGGGUUGUAAAGCUCUUUUACCCGGGAUGAUAAUGACAGUACCGGGAGAAUAAGCUCCGGCCAACUCCGUG
rnacentral:rRNA from 1 species